rnacentral:piRNA from 1 species
CUGGAAGAGAAGAGGGGCUAGGUGG